rnacentral:rRNA from 1 species
GACGAACGCUGGCGGCGUGCUUAACACAUGCAAGUCGAACGGCAAGGCCUUUUCGGCUGUACUCGAGUGGCGAACAGUUGAGUAACACGUGGGUGAUCUGCCCUGCACUCUUGUAUAUGCCUGGGAACCUGGGUCUAAUACCGCUUAUACCCGCACCUUCGUGUGUGUGGUGGCAAGUUUUUUCGGUGUCUGAUGAGCCCGCGGGCUCCCAUCUUGUUUUUGGGGUUAUGGCCUACCAAGGCGGCGAGAGGUAGCCGGACUGAGAGGUUGGUCGGCCACAUUGGGACUGAGGGAAGGCCGAGACUCCGACGGGAGGCAGAAGGGGGGAAGAUUGAACAAGGGGUGCAGGGCUGAUGAAGCGAGGCGGCGUGGGGGAUGACGGCUUUGUGGUGGAAGAAAAGUAGCGCGAGGGAAGAAGGGUGUUGUGACGGUACCUAAAGAAGAAGCACCGGCUAACUACGUG